rnacentral:rRNA from 1 species
GACGAACGCUGGCGGCGUGCUUAACACAUGCAAGUCGAACGGAAAGGCCCUGCUUUUGUGGGGUUCUCGAGUGGCGAACGGGUGAGUAACACGUGAGUAACCUGCCCUUGACUUUGGGAUAACUUCAGGAAACUGGGGCUAAUACCGGAUAGGAGCUCCUGCUGCAUGGUGGGGGUGGGAAAGUUUCGGCGGUUGGGGAUGGACUCGCGGCUUAUCAGCUUGCUGGUGGGGUAGUGGCUUACCAAGGCUUUGACGGGUAGCCGGCCUGAGAGGGUGACCGGCCACAUUGGGACUGAGAUACGGCCCAGACUCCUACGGGAGGCAGCGGUGGGGAAUAUUGCACAAUGGGCGGAAGCCUGAUGCAGCAACGCCGCGUGCGGGAUGACGGCCUUCGGGUUGUAAACAGCUUUCGCCUGUGACGAAGCGUGAGUGACGGUAAUGGGUAAAGAAGCACCGGCUAACUACGUG